rnacentral:rRNA from 1 species
GAUGAACGCUAGCGGCAGGCCUAACACAUGCAAGUCGAGGGGUAACUAGAGUGAUAGCAAUAUUACUUUGGCUAGACCGGCGCACGGGUGCGUAACACGUAUGCAACCUACCUUAUACUGGGGAAUAACUUCGAGAAAUCGGCGCUAAUACCCCAUAACAUUGCGAAGAGGCAUCUCUUUGCAAUUAAAGCUCCGGCGGUACAAGAUGGGCAUGCGUCCAAUUAGCUAGUUGGUGAGGUAACGGCUCACCAAGGCUACGAUUGGUAGGGGUUCUGAGAGGAUGAUCCCCCACACUGGUACUGAGACACGGACCAGACUCCUACGGGAGGCUGCAGUGAGGAAUAUUGCGCAAUGGACGAAAGUCUGACGCAGCCAUGCCGCGUGCAGGAUGACGGCCCUAUGGGUUGUAAACUGCUUUUGUACGGGAAUAAACCCUUCUACGUGUAGGAGGCUGAAGGUACCGUAAGAAUAAGCACCGGCUAACUCCGUGCCAGCAGCCGCGGUAAUAC